rnacentral:rRNA from 1 species
CAGGAUUAGAUACCCUGGUAGUCCACGCCGUAAACGAUGUCUACUUGGAGGUUGUUCCCUUGAGGAGUGGCUUUCGGAGCUAACGCGUUAAGUAGACCGCCUGGGGAGUACGGUCGCAAGAUUAAAACUCAAAUGAAUUGACGGGGGCCCGCACAAGCGGUGGAGCAUGUGGUUUAAUUCGAUGCAACGCGAAGAACCUUACCUACUCUUGACAUCCAGAGAAGCCUGCGGAGACGCGGGUGUGCCUUCGGGAGCUCUGAGACAGGUGCUGCAUGGCUGUCGUCAGCUCGUGUUGUGAAAUGUUGGGUUAAGUCCCGCAACGAGCGCAACCCUUAUCCUUAAUUGCCAGCACUUCGGGUGGGAACUUUGGGGAGACUGCCGGUGAUAAACCGGAGGAAGGUGGGGACGACGUCAAGUCAUCAUGGCCCUUACGAGUAGGGCUACACACGUGCUACAAUGGCGCAUACAGAGGGCGGCCAACUUGCAAAAGUGAGCGAAUCCCAAAAAGUGCGUCGUAGUCCGGAUUGGAGUCUGCAACUCGACUCCAUGAAGUCGGAAUCGCUAGUAACCGUAGAUCAGAAUGCUACGGUGAAUACGUUCCCGGGCCUUGUACACACCGCCCGUCACACCAUGGGAGUGGGCUGCAAAAGAAGUAGGUAGUUUAACCUUCGGGGGGACGCUUACCACUUUGUGGUUCAUGACUGGGGUGAAGUCGUAACAAGGUA